rnacentral:rRNA from 1 species
AUUGAACGCUGGCGGCAGGCCUAACACAUGCAAGUCGAAUGGUAACAGGAAACAGCUUGCUGUUUCGCUGACGAGUGGCGGACGGGUGAGUAAUGUCCGUGAAACUGCCUGAUGGAGGGGGGUAACUACUGGAAACGGUAGCUACUACCGCAUAACGUCGCAAGACCAAAGAGGGGGACCUUCGGGCCUCUUGCCAUCAGAUGUGCCCAGAUGGGAUUAGCUAGUAGGUGGGGUAACGGCUCACCUAGGCGACGAUCCGUAGCUGGGCUGAGAGGAUGACCAGCCACACUAGAACUGAGACACGGUACAGACCCCUACGGGAGGCAGCAGUGCGGAAUAUUGCACAAUGGGCGGAAGCCUGAUGCAGCCAUGCCGCGUGUAGGAAGAAGGCCUUCGGGUUGUAAAGUACUUUCAGUGGGGAGGAAGGGAGUCAAGUUAAUACCUUGGCUCAUUGACGUUACCCGAAGAAGAAGCACCGGCUAACUCCGUG